rnacentral:lncRNA from 1 species
AAAACCUUAGAAAAUGGUUGAGGAGAAAACCCUAGAGGAGAAGAGGUUGGAGGAGACGAUGUGGGAUUCGAUCCGCGAGGGAGAAAGGGAGAUGUCGGGUUUUGGGUCUGUGUAGAAGAGGGAGAGAGGGAGAGAGAGAAAAAGAGAGAUGGGUAAUUUGGGCCUAGAAAGAGAGAAAGAGAAGGAGAUGGCUAAUUACUUAUGAGCUAGGCCCAGAUAAAGAGAGGAGAAAUAUAUAGUUUGGGCUACUAUUUUGGGCCGGCCCAAUUCAAAAAGCCGCUAAAUAAGUGUCGCCUUUUAACUAAUUUCCUGUAGUGUACCAUCUUUGAAGAAUUUUAAGUAGACACAAUGGUCAUACUUACUUCUUUGGAAUCCACAGCUUAGCAUAAAAGUGUCAAACUUUCGAUACCAUUGUCUUGAUGCUUGUUUAAGUUCAUACAAUGAUUUCUUGAGCUUACAUACAAGAUGUUCUUUAUCCUUCUCUAUGAAGCCUUGAGGUUGAUACAUAUAAACCUCUUCUUCUAAAUCUCCAUGUAAAAAUGUUGUUUUAACAUCUAAUUGCUCAAGUUCCAAAUCAUUCAUAGCAACAAGACUAAGAACAAGCCGAAUAGAAAUCAAUUUAACAACAGGAGCAAAUACUUCAAAGAAAUCCAUACAUUCCUUUUGUGCGAAGCCUUUAGCAAUCAAUCUUGCUCUAUACCUUUGAAUUGUCCCAUCGGUUCCUCUUUUGAUUUUGUACACCCACUUGCAACCAAUUGCUUUCCGGCUCUUUGGUAACUCCACCAAAUUCCAAGCUUCAUUCUUGUGAAGUGCCACAAUUUCUUCCUCCAUUGCUUCUUUCCAAUGCUUUGCAUCAAUAGAAUUUAUGGCUUCUAGAAAUGUGCAUGGCUCUUCUUGUUCCACAAUUAGUGCUCGAAAUGUAUUUGGAUCUACAAAAUCCUUCAAAUGCAAAGGUGUGUGUCGCUCUCUUGUAGAACAUCGAGACAAGUCAUGUAUUUCUCCACCUUCAUUAGAACUUUCUUCUUCAUUGAAAUUUUCAUGGGUUUGAUCAUCGACCUCACCAUAUUCAAUCGGUGUAUCCUCCCAUUCAAUGUCUUCAUUUGGUGAGAAAGUUGAAGAUGGAAGUUCAAAAUUUUGAGUAUCAUUCCGGACUUCUUCCUCCUCGAUGCUUUCAUGUUCUACACCCUUUUUCAACACAUUUGAUUCAUCAAAAUAAACAUCACAACUUGUGAUAAUUUUGUGAGCCACCGGAUCCCAUAACCGAUAUCCUUUCACACCUUUUGUAUAACCAACAAAUAUGCAUUUUCUUGAUCUUGGAUCUAGCUUAGUUCUUUGACAACUAGGAACCAAUGCAAAAGCAUGACAACCGAAUAUUUUUAGAUUAGAAUAAUCACAAGGAGUUCCGAACCAUACCUCCUCCGGUGUCUUUCCAUUUAUAGCCAUGGAAGGUGAGCGGUUGACAAGAUAACAUGCCAUGGACACGGCCUCCGCCCAUAACUCGUGCUCCAAAACCGGCAUUGCUCAACAUACUACGAGCCCGCUCUAUCAAUGUACGGUUCAUCCUCUCGGCCACCCCAUUUUGUUGUGGAUCAUACGGAUUUGUAUAGUGUCUUGAGAUGCCAUUCUCUUUACAAAAGAGCUCAAACACUUUAGAUUUGUACUCCAAACCAUUGUCCGAUCGGAGAACUUUAAUGCGGCGUCUGGUGAGAUUCUCUAUUUCAGCCUUGAAGGGUCACGCCCCGAGCCUGAUCCUUUUGGCCGGUUCGAGAGCGUCAACAGACGCCGAACGGACAGAGUCUCCCCUGUCUGCCCAAGGCUCAACAACAAGUAUCAAUAGAGUAUAAAUUUGCAUAAGCGGAAACAUACAAAAUGGCUUGCACGAGGGCAAGCAAUAGCCAAUAGUGAAAGUAAACAACUAUACUUAGGAAUUUAAUUACAAUUUGCAUCAUUUCUUUUUACAUCCCAAUCUUCCAAAAUGUAACAUUGAUAUUAAAUGAAUUCUUUUACAUCAUUCAUGUCCUUUCAUUAAACAACUAUAAUCAUCAAAGUACAAAAGAUGAUAUAUCAAAAGGGGUAUGCAACUAUGAAAUGAAACAUCUCGGGCGGUCUCUACCUAGGGCGCGAUGCCCUUACCACGGUCGUCAGCCGGCUCGCUCGGUCCUGGCUCUCUGGAAAUAGGGGUGUGAGAACUACAACAAAGUUUCCAGUGGGUUCGGCAACCAACCACGCCGACUAUCCCACUAGGUCUAAUCAGGCAUAAUAGAAUAGAAGAAAGAAAGUAACCAACUAACAAAUGCAACUAAUAUGCCUGAACAAUAUAAAAUGCGAUGCUCGAUAUAAUGCACAUGAUGAAUGCAGGAUCACGAUUACUUUACCCAAUCUCGUGGCUAACCCGUAGGUGUCGCCCUCAACAAACUCACAAAUCCAAAAUCCUAUUUAACCGGAGAGAGACCCGCUACAACCCGAUAGGACUGUCCUCUGGGGAGAUACCCGCUACGACCUAGUGAUGUCGACUCCGGAGCACAUCGCCCGAGGGGGAGCUACCACCCUCGAGCAAGGACUAAAGGUGAGUACGAUCAAUCCUACAUUGAGGAUUCCAAGUUCAAUCCAUUCCUUAACUUUAAGGAAGACCAUGCUCAAAUGACUUCGAACUCUAAGGUUGAAAUAUCAUAAUGUCCCAAUCAUUCUUUUCUUUGCAUUCUUUACUAUCACUAGUGUCAUAUACACUACCUAGUUUUGUACUCAUGCCACACUUGUUUUCUAAGCGCUAUGUUCUUGUUCUCAUGCCAAAUGCCACACUUAUUUUCUAAGUGUUCUAGACUCAUCAAUGUCACCCACUAAAUCUAUGUCCAUGUGUCACUUUUGUUCACUAACCCUUCUAGAUUCUUGUCACUUGUCAUGCAUACAUAGGGUUACAAUUCUCACAUUCUUAUCAAUAUUUCAUACGCAAUUAAAUUUACAAUCAUGCAAUAAAGCUCACAAUUAACCCUACUAUGCAAGAUGCUCAAUAUAUAUUUAUAUGUUCAAACAUGACACUUUAGACAUAAAGAAAUUUCCGAGGUCCUUGGAAUGCACCACCCACCUCAAGUGGUCGUGUGGGCGUAGAAUAUGACGACUCCCGAACUUUACGAAAGCCGAUACCGUGACCUACAACCAAAUAGUGCCAUAUUAGGCCAUUUGUACAUGAAUCAUACUUAAACAUUUUCGUAACGUCGAACGGAGUUGUCCAACGUGCCGAGGACACCCCCAAUUAGGUUUCUACAAGGUCAAUUUGUCUUAGAAACACUCGGGGCCAAAAGCCCCAAAUUUGGUGCCCUAACCAAACCCAUUGUUAAACCCUAGGUUUUGAUCUCUAAAACAAGCAAAAGAGAGCUUGUCUAACCUCUAGGAGCUCAUUUAGAACCAUCCCAACCAUCUCUAGGGCUUAAAAUGCAAACCCUAGAAAUCCCCCAUUAGAGCACCAUGAAGAAAACUAGGGUUUCAUGGUAUUCAAAGCUCUACUACUCUUCUAAAGCCUCUAAAGAGACCAAAACUCCAAAAUCUAAGGUUAAACUCCAAACCCUAGAGCUCUACAUGCUAAAAACUUACCUAGGCCCAAGUUCUAGUAAGCUCCUUCUUGUUGGAGAGCUUCUAGGACCACCAAAGCCACCAAAAAUCCCUCCUCAAGCUUCUUCUUCUUCUUCUCCUUCAAGCCCUAGGUGAUUUCUAGAGAGAGAGAGGAGAGGAAAUGAGAGGGAGAGGUGUGUGUGUGUGUGAAUGGCUGUAGAGGGAGAGGGGGUUGGGUAUAUAAGGUGUUGUAACAUUUACAACAAGACCCCUCCACUUUAUUCCCUGUGCACUGCCCAAACUGGACAUUUUUCACAGUGAAGGACCGGUCUCCCCGACUAGGGACCGGUCCCCGAGAGCUCCUCCUGCGGACAGGGCAGGCUACGGGCGAUGCAACCGGUCUCCCUCAAUGGGACCGGUCUCUCCUCGCAAGGACCAGUUCCCGAGAGCUGAUUUUUCAGGACUUAGUCGAUUCCUCGGCCAUCUCGCUGCCUACGCGUUCGGGGACCGGUCUCUCCUACCAGGGACCGGUCUCUCCCACCAGGGACUGGUCCCUGAGAGCACAAAACCUGCAGUUUGCAAAUUUUGAUUUCCAAAGCUCUCGAAAGUCCCCCGUAAUGUACUUUUGCAUUAUUCGACGCCUUCGGCCUCUCCGAAGUAUACCAAUCUCGCACUUUGGUCAAUUUGACCAAGGUUCGAAUUUAAUUACCGAGGUUUCGGUAUGUUACAUGAAGUGCUUAAAUGCUUGAAAUGCCUCACCUUUCGACUUAAGAAAUUUCACCCAAACCUUUCGUGAGAGGUCGUCAAUAAAUGAUAUAUAAUAAUUGGCACCACCAUAUGAAGUAGUAGGAGAACUCCACACAUCCGUGUGAAUGUAGUCAAGAAUAUCUUUACUUGUAUGACUCCCGGCUUUGAAGCUCCACUUAUGAUGUUUUCUAUAGACACAAUGCUCACAAAAUUUCGAGUCACUAAAAGUAAUAUCCGGUAUAAGUUUCUUCUCUACUAAAAUCUUUAUACCCUUCUCACUCAUAUGCCUUCUAUGCCAUAGUCAAAGAGAAAGGUCAUCAUUUUCCGUCGCCGCAUAAGUUUCAUCCGUCAUUGUACUCCCCAAUAGCUUGUACAAGUUUCCAACCCGAAUGCCAUUCACGACAACCAAUGCACCUUUGGAGACUUUUAUAACUCCACCUUGCCCCGUAAAUUUGUAGCCUUUGUUGUCCAAUUCGGAGAGAGAGAUCAAACCUUUCUUCAAAUCCGGAACAUGUCGAACAUUUUCAAGUACCUGGAUCAUUCCAUCAUACAUUCUCAAGCGUACCGAACCAACUCCCACCGUUCUACUAGUUGAGUUGUUUCCCAUCGAAAUGGUACCACCAUCGCAUUCCUCAUAGGUAAUGAACCAUGAACGAUGUGGGCACAUAUGAUGAGUAGCGCCACUAUCAAGAAUCCAAUUUUGAUGAAACACCGAACUAGAACCCGCCAUUAAGACCUCAUCAUCAAUAACACCCAAUGUUGUCUCUUCAACUUAAUGUGCUUUAUUGUUCAAUUCCGAGUUUUGUUUACCACUACUUGAUUCACCAUUGUCCCUUCCGCCAUUUGAGCCUUUUCUUUUUAGACAAUCUUUCUUCAUAUGUCCGGAUUUGCCACAAAACCAACAAAGUCUUUUGUCAUUCCGAUUUCUAGACUUUGAUCUAUUCUUUAACUUGCUUCUUGAAAAAUGUUUUGACAUAUUUUUCACGUUCUCUAUAAUGACCUCUUACUACAAGUGCUUCCGUUUCACCCUCCGAACUUCCCAAAGUUAUUUUCUUUCGAAGUUCAUCGGCUAACAAUGCACUACAAAUGGUAUCCAAGUCAAGAGAAUCUUCUUUAGUGCAACUUAAACUUGUAAUCAAAGUCUCAUAGGAAUCCGGCAAUGUGCAUAACAAAGUGAUGGACUUAUCUUUGUAAGAUAUGGAUCCCGAGGAUCUAAAAGGUAAGUAACACCUAGAGGGGGGUGAAUAGGUGUAAAUCCGGCAAACUUGAAAAAUCUCGAUGCAAACAAAACACAAUAGCGGAAAUUAAAAUAGCACACCGAGAAUUAAACGUGGGAAAACUCCAAUUUGGAGUGAAAAACCCACGGGACUGAUCACGCAAAGAAAAUCCACUAAGAAAACUUGAGUACAAGUGAUUUCGACCAAAAACACACGACUCAAUUUACCGAUUUCUCGUUGACGGUGAUCUUUGCCGGUCCUCGAUCGAUAGGAAUCCACCAAUCGACCUUGCUGCAACUCCUCGCAGCGUCAACGCCUCAACUCCUCGAAGCGUCCACCGAAUCCUCGGCUUCACGCGAGAUCCACGCGCCGAACCUCCUUCCGGAGCUUGUAGAAUUGAAGAUUUGCGGUGAUUUAACUUUUGAAAACCAUAAGCUAUGAGGGUUCACCUUUAAUCAAUCAUCUACUUGAUUCUCGUAAGAAGUAUCGAGUAAAAACGAAGAAUCAAGCCGAUGUUGAUUGCUAGAAACUCAUCAUGUAAAUCGAAGCAUUGAAACGGGAAGAAAACAAGUUUCUAGGGUUUGGAAUUGGUAAAAUAUUCAAAGCCUUAAUUUUAGAUGACCCACAUAGCUUAUUUAUAUGUUUAGAAGACUUAGAAGUAGACUAGGAUUGCAAAAAGUCGAUUUCAAAAACCUGUGUCGUCCUCAGAGACCGGUCCUGUCGAGGAGACCGGUCUGUGAGAGACCGGUCUCUCAAGUGAGGAACCGGUCCCUCCCUGCGUGACCAAAAACCCCACGUUCGGGAACCGGUCUCUCAAACUUGAGACCGGUCCCUCGCUGCGCGACAGAACCACCAAGGUUCGGGAACCGGUCUCUCAUCACAGGGGACCGGUUGCAUCAAGGUUUACGCAGUGAGGACCUUGGGGGAACCGGUCUCUCCAUUUCAGAGACCGGUCCCAGAACACAAGAAAGUUCAGAAAAGUUGUUUAAAAACAAUCUAAGCCUUCUGAACUUAUUUUAAUUAUGUAUCUUCACCACAAAUGAUCUUUUCUUCAUACCUUAGGUGUCGAUCUUUCCGAAUGAGUCUUUGUCCUCCAAUUUGAAUCUUUUCUCAAAAACUUCUGCGAUCAACUCUUCAAGACUCCAAACAACUUUAUGAAAUUCGCCAACCUAUAAAAUCCUUAACAAUCUCCCCCUUUGGCGAUUUCGUGACAAAAUAUACUACAAAGCUCGUAUACAACCAAUAAGUCAUAAAAAGAAGAUCAUCGCAAUCACCAAUCGAUAAUCUCCUGCAUAAUCAAUCCAAUAAACAAAAUUUACACUUUUACAACCUUAAUACAAACUCUAUGACUUAGACUUGGAGUCUUGAAGUCUUGAAUUAUUCCUGCAAAAACAUUCUCAAAGCAUAAUCAAGAUUCAAGUAUCAAGAAGUAUCAAGAAGAUCAAACAAUCAACUAAAGUUCACACUUCAUAGUUCAUAGUUAAACUAAACGAAAGCAAAGCCCUAAGCUAAAUGCAUCAUCAUCAUCAUCAUCAUUAAAACCAUCCCAUAUCAUCUCCCCCUUUUUGUCAGAAAGCGCCAAAACGACAAAAGGAGAAGCUCGGCAAAUCCUAAUCAGAAUUAUCUCCCGGAGGCAAAUCCGCCCGACAACAUCCUAACUUGUCAAAAAUCAUAUUCAACAAGCGCUUCAUCUUGCUCACAUCCUUACGAAUUGCAGCUUGUUCUGCAGACAACUUCUGAAGCUCCUCAGAUAGACGUUGCUGCUCGCGAUACACCGAAGAAACGGAAAUAUCCUCCUCAGAAAUGUCCAUAGAAGGACGUGAAGAAGUAGCAGUAGCAGGAGGUGGAGCUGCAGGAGGCGAAGAAGCACGUUGAGACGGCGUACGAAGCUGCACCGAGGACUUUACAAACGUCCUUUCAUUGAUCCCACCCAAACUGUGCUCAUAUGAGGUACACCUAACAUCCACCUCACGAAGUCGCAAAAUCCGCAUGAUUAUCAUAGGAAAUGGUAACCUCUCAUUUUGCCCAGAGGUUUUGAUAUCCUUCGCCAUCCGCCGCCAGAUCAAAAACGGAAUAUUCAUGUUAAUGUUUUUCGCACUCACAAUAUCUGGCCUACCCAAGAGAUACAUGUACAGAAUCCGAUCCCAUCUCAAGAUUUUCGUGUUCGCGAGAGGCAUGAUGUUGUAGCAAACCACAAAGUUCAGAAAUCUGUACUCCAUUUUAAAAUCCUUGGACAUAACCAUAAUUCCGUUUGAAUCAGUACCCGGCAUGCAGAUAGUGUUCACGACACGGUUCCAAUCGCGUAGUGAGUCGAACCCGGCCUGCAAAUACUCCACUCCAUCAGUCUUAGCUUCCAUCUCAAGCACCGAAGCUAUUGUCGCAGGAGUGAUGGAUAACUCAACACCACGGACAGAAGUCUUAGAAGUCAGUCUAACUUCAUCACAGACAAAACCUCAAAAGGGGGGCUCCCUCUUCUUCUUCCCUCUGUCACCAAAUACAGAAAAAUCUGAUAAUCUCUCAAAAGGACUCCACAAAUAGAGAGGAAAAGCGGCUGAAGGUCAACAUCCAUGCUACACAUCGUACGGGGCUUUGGGCAUAAUAGCGUCUGACUGCCUAUAUAAAAGUCUUGUAAAAACGAAAGCUAUUGCAAGCCUACUAUUGGACGACUCCUCAUCCUGACGAUCUACUUUCGAGCGAAGAGGAUGUAAUAUGCCACGCACUGUUUGCACCACGGAUUCAACUUUUCAUCGUGUCUAGCAUCUACUCGACCUCCGAUUUUCUACGACAUCUAUACAGAGAAGUCAUCUUCGGAAACCUCAUCGGAUGAUGAUAUCGGACGAAAGAUGACAUGGUCCUGCAGCAAUAUCACAAUUAGUGUUGAAUCAAAGAAGAUGGCUAAACAUAACAAGAAAUUGCCGGCCGUAGCUACAUGAGUUGGAACCAAGAAAAGUCAAAGUUGCCUCUCUAACAAAGAUUUAGAAAGAGAGAGAUUGGGUUGACCAAGGCUUACAAAUUCUUUGCUUGAGAAGUGUUCGUUAUUGGAAAAAGAUAUAGGAGACUCAGGUGGAUGACAUCAAGUAUCUUAACCAAACAAGAUUCAGAACUAGGAAAGCCAAAUAUGAAUUCACCAAUGACGAUCAUCUCACUGAAGUCGGACUUGAAAAUUUAUCUGGUUCGAGCAAACUAAUAAGAUGCCUUGACUUCGGUCAGACAAUAACCUUGGUACUUGGUUACGCACGACAUAUAUUGAUUAAGUCUACGAAGAAGGAUGAUGGAAUGCUCCGUGCAACGUGCUGUACCUAAAACUUUAAAUGUAGUUUGUCCUCCAAGAAAUAAUUUGGCUCAAACCUUGUCUAUUGUGGUGUUUUUAGGACACAUAAAAAAUUCUGCUACCAAAAGGGAAAGAGCUCAAUAGCUCUCUUUAAGAGUAACCCUCAAAAAUGACAAUGAAGUCAAUGUGACUCCAAAGAAGAUUAAAAAAAGAAGAGCCAAUUCGAACACCCAAACACCUCGAAGCCAAAGGCAACAAGCUGGAAACCAAGAAGGGGAUAUGAAGAGAAGUCAAUUCAAAUCAUCAGACAAGCCACGAUCACAACAAAAGCAGCGAACUGACACAACCAAACACGUAAAGGUUUGGGUCCGCAAAAGUCAUCAUUUCCCAUGACUACAGUCAUUCACACUUCACUUCAUGCUUAAUAACUCAUCUUGUAUCUGGAUAGUGGCGUUCUCGUCACAUGACUGCGCGAGAUAAAAAUUGGGUUUACUUCUUUGACCAAAAUUCCGGAGACUUGUUGUCUUUGGGGACGGUCAUCCGUCCCAAUAAUCGUUGGAAAAGGACAGUGACUUCUCAGACGGCCCUACGUUGAAUGAUGGUUUUUUUAUGUUGAAGGGCUAAAUCUAAUCUCGCUAAGCAUAAGUCAAUUGUGUGAUUGACGGGUAUUUCAGUGACUUUUCCUGAUAAAGAUGCCAUGUGACUCGGAUGACAAUCAUUUUAAAGGGCAUUAGAGUUCUAGAAUAAUUGUUUUACUGUAGUCCUAGUUCCGGCCACUGAACAUUGUUUUAAAACCUAGCGUCAUUAGAACGAAAACUUUAUUGCAGAACGACUAGUCACAUCAAUUUUAAGGAGCUAUCUAAAUAACAAGAAAGUAGUUAGAGUGUAGCCUAAGAUUGACUAUAAUAGAGAACACUGCGUGUGUGGGGGUUGCCAAUUAGGGACACAAACUAAGAUCACACAUAAGAACUUGAACCCACUUGGACACUAAACUCUAGAGUUACUUCACAAUGGACUUGAUGGGACCAUCUAGGAUUCAAAGUUGGGUGGAAAAACGUUAUAAUUCUGCCUCUUGUUGAUGACUUUACUCGCUAUGUAUGGAGUGCUUUCUAUACGAGAAACAAGCUGAUACUUUUAAUUCCUUUUCUCGAAAUCCCGUCUCCGUCUAUGACUGAAGAAUGAUAAAAUUGUACGCCAUUCGACGGUCAAGGGGGAGAAUUCAAUAUAAAUUCCUAAUUAUGUGAUUUCUGUGUUUCAAAAUGGUAUAUAAAACAUGAAUUCCUCGGCCCCCUAUUACACCAAACAAAAUGGAGUGGUUGAACGUAUAGAAUCGGGUAUGUACAGAGAGUAUGCUCGUGUUGCUUCAUAGUAAGAAAUUGCUUUACAUUUUUUGGGCCGAAAGCGGUUAACAGCUGUCUAUGUCAUCAAUUGCGGAUUAUAUGUACGUCUCCGGGCACGUUGAAACACCUUAUGAACUUUGGCUUGGUAGAAAACCUAACAUUAAACUUUCGUGUCUUCGGGAGUAAAUGGUUUUAUCCUUCGGGAUUCGCUGAAAAUCUUGGAAAUUUGACUCUCGCAGUGACGAAGGGGCAAUAUUUCUUGGUUAUUCUACUACAAGUCGUGCCUAUCGUGCUUACAAUUUACGAACUAAGACGGUGAUAAGUCUAUCAAGUAUAAAAGUAUGAUGCAAGCUUCUUUGUAUUCUUUCUGUGAAUGGUUUCUUCAAAUUCCUUGAUGAAUGACGAUGAAUAAUGAUCUCCGUUGUAAUACCUGUGAAUAUAAUAUUUCUAUACCUGAUAAUUCCAUUGCAUCUUCUGAAAACAUUGCAUCAAUGAUUCAUCUGAGCAACAAAAUAUCACGCCUGAAAUCCCUAGCGGUAUCUCCUGAAACUAUUCCCUUUGACUGAGUCAAGAGAUCAAUCCUUUGUUCAAAUGUGAUCUGGGGGAUCUAAUGUUUGGUGUGCGAAAGGAGUCAGUUAACAAUGUGAAUUUGCAUGUUAUGUUCUUUGAUUUGACCAAAGAAUGUUGACCGAAGCCUUUUGAUGAAUAUUUGGAUAUAAUAUGCCUAUGCAUAGAAGAACUUGGCUCAAUUGUUUCGCAAUAUGUAUGCGGAAUUGGCUGCCUCGUCCUGAGCAACAAACACAUUAUUGGUACGCAAAGGAUCUUUAAGAAUAAAGAAUCAAUAAAGAUGGUACUAUCGUACGGAAACAAAAGUAGACUUGUGGCUCAGGGGUAACUCUCCAAAUUGAGGGGUAUAGACUUUUGAAGAAACUUUCGCUCCGGUUGCCGUCUUGGAGUCUAUUCCGUAUCUUGUUCCCCGAUUGCUGUCACUUUUAAUAACCUGCUCUUUCAAAUGGAAUCUCCAAGUGCGUUUUUAAAUGGAUUUUUAAAGUAGGAACGUUUAUGUUACAACCGAAAGUUUUAUAAUAGACUCAAAAUUUCUCAAAACUCACUGUUUUUUUCGACUCUGAAAAAAGCUACUUUAUGGUAUUAAAACAAGCCUUCCGCGAGGCAUGGGUACGACACGUUAACAAAAUAUCUUUUGGAAAAAGGGCUAUAACCGAGGAGGAGAGCAGAUAGAACUCUUUUGUGGAAAGCAUCUGAAGAAAAAUUUCAUUGUAGCAACAAUAAUAUGUGGAAUGACAUAGUUUUGGGGCUACUAAAGAUAGGAUGCCGCUGAUUUGCCAAAGUUAAUGACCAGUGAGUUUGAGAGUCAAUGAUGGGAAACUUAAUUAUUU